rfam:Triticum aestivum genome assembly, contig: Triticum_aestivum_CS42_TGACv1_scaffold_404191_5BL
AAAGUACUCCCUCCAUCCCAAAAUUCUUAUCUUAAAUUUGUCCAGAUAUGGAUGUAUUUAAUACUAAAACGUGACUUGAUACAUAUGUAUUUAGACAAAUAUAAGACAAGAAUUUUGGGGCGAAGGGCGUAGUUA